UGCAGACCUGGUUGAUCCUGCCAGAGGUUACUGCUAUCGAGGUUCGACUAAGCCAUGCGAGUCGAAUGUAGCAAUACAUGGCGUACUGCUCAGUAACACGUGGACAACCUACCCUUAGGACGGGGAUAAACCCGGGAAACUGGGUAUAAUACCCGAUAGAUCUGGGCUGCUGGAAUGCAUCCAGAUUUAAAACUCCGGUGCCUAAGGAUGGGUCUGCGGCCUAUCAGGUUGUAGUGGGUGUAGCGUACCUACUAGCCUACGACGGGUACGGGUUGUGAGAGCAAGAGCCCGGAGAUGGAUUCUGAGACACGAAUCCAGGCCCUACGGGGUGCAGCAGGCGCGAAAACUUUACAAUGCCGGCAACGGCGAUAAGGGGACCUCGAGUGCCAGGUUACAAAUCUGGCUGUCGCGAUGCCUAAAAAGCAUUGCAUAGCAAGGGCCGGGCAAGACCGGUGCCAGCCGCCGCGGUAACACCGGCGGCUCGAGUGGUAACCGUUAUUAUUGGGUCUAAAGGGUCUGUAGCCGGCCGGGUAAGUCUCUUGGGAAAUCCAGCAGCUUAACUGUUGGGCUUUCAGGAGAUACCGCCUGGCUCGAGGCCGGGAGAGGUGAGAGGUACUUCAGGGGUAGGGGUGAAAUCUUGUAAUCCUUGAAGGACCACCAGUGGCGAAGGCGUCUCACCAGAACGGACCUGACGGCAAGGGACGAAAGCUAGGGGCACGAACCGGAUUAGAUACCCGGGUAGUCCUAGCCGUAAACGAUACUCGCUAGGUGUCGGCCACGGUGCGACCGUGGUCGGUGCCGUAGGGAAGCCGUGAAGCGAGCCAC
rnacentral:rRNA from 1 species